CCUCUCCUAAACUCCAUUAUUGGUUUUGUCUCUCUAGAGGACCCUAAUACACUGCCCAGCAGAAGCCAGGAAGGAAGCCCUGCCAGCUCAGAAGGUGGGCCAGGAGAGAAGGGUGUGGCCGGAAGGGUAGCCGGUGGGGGUGCUGCAUCCUCUUGGCCCCACGGGGAGCACCCUGUCACCCCUAACAGAUGAAGAGAAGGUGAGGGGGGAUUGAGUUACCUGCCCACUGGUGUGUCAAACUCCAUGAUGGGGGUGGGAACAUGCAGACCUGGCCCCUCCAAGGCCCACUGCUCCCCGGGCUGUGCGCCCCACAGUCUGUGCCAGGGGCUGCAGAAAGAGCCAUGGGAAGCCUGGCCCUGGUAGGGCACCAAGAUGGGGAGGGCUGGAUCCACCCUCCAGAGAACAAGAAUCCUGGGCAGUAGCCGGGACAUGGUGGGGGAGGCUGAAGGGUUGUCCCUGAGCAUCCCCAACAUGGAGCUCGGAAGUCUGGGCCAUGGGCAGGAAAGCACGAAGGUCAGGGCCAGCCUGGGGAACCAAGAGCUGUGCCACGAUCCCUUCCACCUGGGGCAGCUGCCCACAUGCCCGCCACUGGGUUCCAUCACCUGAGACUCCUGGCAGGUGCCUCUCUGAGUCUUUGUCCUGUGCUGGAAACUGGGAUGUGCAGCACACAUCUUCACACCCACAGCACGGACAGCGGGAAUAACACUUCCUUUGGGGAUCCAGGGUUUCUGGUGUCUCCAGAUUUUUCAGGCGCCACCAUGUUCCUCUCAUCCAGACGUCAGCACCCAAGGUGGAAGCAGGUCAUGGCAUGCCCGGCCCAGCUGCAGUCCGAGUGCAGAUCCCAUGGCGAGCGUGGGAUCCAGCCCAAAGCACAAGCCACGCACAGCCCGCCAGGUUGAGUGGGCAGGUACCUCCAACAGCCAGCCCAGGUUGAGUGGGCAGGUACCUCCAACAGCCUGGAGCCGUGAGGCCUUGCGCAGGGGCGUUGCCGGCCGUGGAGGUCUCUGGCUGGCAAAGUGGCACCGAAAGAGUCCUGUGUCAUAACCAGACUCACUUGUAGCUUCUGUUGCUCUCCCUAGCUAUUUGCAAAGCAUCCAGGAUAGGUUCAUCUAAAGACAUUCUGACUCAUCUUGGACACGAUCCACUUACUCUGUGGACCCUGUUCACAGAACCUGGAGUCCCUGCUCACCUUCCCCAACCCCUUAUUGCUGGGUCAUGUUCACAAGUUUCUGUCUCUUUUUGUUCCCAGUCCCGGUACCAGCUCAGGUCCAAUCAGCUUCUGAACCUCUACUGUGCAGCGCCUGAGACAGGGUGGGAGAGACACCGACAGUAAAGCUCAGCCAGGUGCAGACUGCAGCCUGGAAGCAAAGGCUGAGACAGGGUGGGAGAGACACCGACAGUAAAGCUCAGCCAGGUGCAGACUGCAGCCUGGAAGCAAAGGCUGAGACAGGGUGGGAGAGACACCGACAGUAAAGCUCAGCCAGGUGCAGACUGCAGCCUGGAAGCAAAGGCUGAGACAGGGUGGGAGAGACACGGACAGUAAAGCUCAGCCAGGUGCAGACUGCAGCCUGGAAGCAAAGGCUGAGACAGGGUGGGAGAGACACGGACAGUAAAGCUCAGCCAGGUGCAGACUGCAGAAUGGAAGCAAAGGCUGAGACAGGGUGGGAGAGACACGGACAGUAAAGCUCAGCCAGGUGCAGACUGCAGCCUGGAAGCAAAGGCUGAGACAGGGUGGGAGAGACACGGACAGUAAAGCUCAGCCAGGUGCAGACUGCAGAAUGGAAGCAAAGGCUGAGACAGAGUGGGAGAGACACCGACAGUAAAGCUCAGCCAGGUGCAGACUGCAGAAUGGAAGCAAAGGCUGAGACAGGGUGGGAGAGACACCGACAGUAAAGCUCAGCCAGGUGCAGACUGCAGCCUGGAAGCAAAGGCUGAGACAGGGUGGGAGAGACACUGACAGUAAAGCUCAGCCAGGUGCAGACUGCAGAAUGGAAGCAAAGGCUGAGACAGGGUGGGAGAGACAGGGACAAUAAAGCUCAGCCAGGUGCAGACUGCAGAAUGGAAGCAAAGGCUGAGACAGGGUGGGAGAGACACGGACAGUAAAGCUCAGCCAGGUGCAGACUGCAGCCUGGAAGCAAAGGCUGAGACAGGGUGGGAGAGACAGGGACAAUAAAGCUCAGCCAGGUGCAGACUGCAGAAUGGAAGCAAAGGCUGAGACAGGGUGGGAGAGACACGGACAGUAAAGCUCAGCCAGGUGCAGACUGCAGAAUGGAAGCAAAGGCUGAGACAGGGUGGGAGAGAGACGGACAGUAAAGCUCAGCCAGGUGCAGACUGCAGCCUGGAAGCAAGGGCAGUGCCAUCCUCUUUCGGGGCAUUUCUGGUCACUUCAGUCUGCUGGGGGGAUUCCGUGUCUCACCAGGAGACUCAGGCAUGGACCUGGGUUGCCACUUUCUUCCUGUUACAUGGAUCUCUCUACCAUGCCCCAGACCCAACACCUCAGCCUUCUCAAAGCUGCACUGCAGAAGUUCUAGCCAGAGCAGCCUGGUAAGAGAAAGACGUAAAGAGCAUCCAAAUACUUCCUUCCAAAUGAGGAAGCCAAAUGGUCCUUGUUUGCAUUCAACGUGAUCUUAUAUAUAGAAAACCCUAAAAGCUUUAUCAAAACAUUCUUAGAACAAACAAAUUCAGUAAAGUUGCAGGAUACAAAAUUAACAUACAAAACCCAGUAACAUUUCUACAUACCAAACUACCAAAAAAAACCAGGAAAGCAAUUCCAUUUACAAUAGCUACCAAAACCAAAAAACAAACCUAGGAAUAAAUUUAACCAAUGAGGCUGGGCGCAGUGGCUCAUACCUGUAAUACUAACACUUUGGGAGGCCGAGAUGGUGGAUCACGAGGUCAGGAGAUUGAGACCAUCCUGGCUAAUACAGUGAAACCCCAUCUCUACUAAAAAUACAAAAAAUUAGCCGGGCCUGGUGGCACACACCUGCAGUUCCAGCUAC
rnacentral:lncRNA from 1 species